rnacentral:rRNA from 1 species
AGAGUUUGAUCAUGGCUCAGGAUGAACGCUGGCGGCGUGCCUAACACAUGCAAGUCGAACGAAGCGAUUCUUCGGAAGUUUUCGGAUGGAAGAAGGAUUGACUGAGUGGCGGACGGGUGAGUAACGCGUGGGUAACCUGCCUCAUACAGGGGGAUAACAGUUAGAAAUGACUGCUAAUACCGCAUAAGCGCACGGGACCGCAUGGUCCGGUGUGAAAAACUCCGGUGGUAUGAGAUGGACCCGCGUCUGAUUAGGUAGUUGGCGGGGUAACGGCCCACCAAGCCGACGAUCAGUAGCCGACCUGAGAGGGUGACCGGCCACAUUGGGACUGAGACACGGCCCAAACUCCUACGGGAGGCAGCAGUGGGGGAUAUUGCACAAUGGGGGAAACCCUGAUGCAGCGACGCCGCGUGAGUGAAGAAGUAUUUCGGUAUGUAAAGCUCUAUCAGCAGGGAAGAGGAAGACGGUACCUGACUAAGAAGCCCCGGCUAACUACGUGCCAGCAGCCGCGGUAAUACGUAGGGGGCAAGCGUUAUCCGGAUUUACUGGGUGUAAAGGGAGCGUAGACGGCGAUACAAGUCUGAAGUGAAAGCCCCGGGCUCAACCCGGGAACUGCUUUGGAAACUGCAUGGCUGGAGUGCUGGAGAGGUAAGCGGAAUUCCUAGUGUAGCGGUGAAAUGCGUAGAUAUUAGGAGGAACACCAGUGGCGAAGGCGGCUUACUGGACAGUAACUGACGUUGAGGCUCGAAAGCGUGGGGAGCAAACAGGAUUAGAUACCCUGGUAGUCCACGCGGUAAACG